rnacentral:rRNA from 1 species
CCCUUAGAUGUUCUGGGCCGCACGCGCGCUACACUGAUGCAUUCAACGAGCCUAUCCUUGACCGACAGGUCCGGGUAAUCUUUGAAUCUGCAUCGUGACGGGGAUAGAUUAUUGCAAUUAUUAAUCUUCAACGAGGAAUGCCUAGUAGGCGCAAGUCAUCAGCUUGCGUCGAUUACGUCCCUGCCCUUUGUACACACCGCCCGUCGCUCCUAUCGAUUGAGCGGUUCAGUGAGGGCCUCGGAUUGGUCUCGGUCUGGCGUGCAAGCGCCGGCACCGUUGGCCGAGAAGACGCUCGAACUCGAUCGCUUGGAGAAAGUAAAAGUCGUAACA